UACGGGGGGGGCAAGCGUUGUUCGGAAUUACUGGGCGUAAAGGGCUCGUAGGCGGCCAACUAAGUCGGACGUGAAAUCCCUCGGCUUAACCGGGGAACUGCAUCCGAUACUGGAGGGCUUGAGUUUGGGAGAGGGAUGCGGAAUUCCAGGUGUAGCGGUGAAAUGCGUAGAUAUCUGGAGGAAUACCGGUGGCGAAGGCGGCAUCCUGGACCGACAUUGACGCUGAGGAGCGAAAGCUAGGGGAGCAAACGGG
rnacentral:rRNA from 1 species